rnacentral:sRNA from 1 species
UUGACACUCUGCAGAACUAAAUUCUCCCACUUUACUCUAAAGCAGCUACCAGCUGGGUAACAGCAAUACGACAUUCCAUACCCUGCCCUGGCAUGGAACUCCUGAGCUGCUGUGGAGGGAUUGCCUGAGGGGGUGGAGGAGAUUCAGUCUCCAUGGCCCAUUUAAUUCUUGGCCUCU